CCGGACAGGGAUGGGCAUGCGGCGCAUUAGGCAGUAGGCGGGGUAACGGCCCACCUAACCGACGAUGCGUAGGGGUUCUGAGAGGAAGGUCCCCCACACUGGUACUGAGACACGGACCAGACUCCUACGGGAGGCAGCAGUGAGGAAUAUUGGUCAAUGGUCGGGAGACUGAACCAGCCAAGCCGCGUGAGGGAUGAAGGUACAGAGUAUCGUAAACCUCUUUUGUCAGGGAACAAAGGCGGGGACGUGUCCCCGGAUGAGUGUACCUGAAGAAAAAGCAUCGGCUAACUCCGUGCCAGCAGCCGCGGUAAUACGGAGGAUGCGAGCGUUAUCCGGAUUUAUUGGGUUUAAAGGGUGCGCAGGCGGUCUGUUAAGUCAGCGGUCAAAGCCCGGGGCUCAACCCCGGCCCGCCGUUGAAACUGGCAGUCUCGAGUUGGAGAGAAGUAUGCGGAAUGCGCGGUGUAGCGGUGAAAUGCAUAGAUAUCGCGCAGAACUCCGAUUGCGAAGGCAGCAUGCCGGCUCCACACUGACGCUGAGGCACGAAAGCGUGGGUAUCGAACAGGAUUAGAUACCCUGGUAGUCCACGCAGUAAACGAUGAAAACUGGCUGUCCGGG
rnacentral:rRNA from 1 species